GUUGACCCCUAUCUGAAGGGGAAGAUUGCGCCUGAAUGCUUCAAAAAGUUUGCUGAGACUGCAAUGAAAUGUGUGGCUGAUCAGGGCAUUGACAGGCCAUCCAUGGGAGAUGUGCUAUGGAACCUAGAGUUUGCUUUGCAGCUACAAGAGAGCGCAGAGGAGAGUGGCAAAGGUAUCAGCGGAAUAGAUGAUGAGGAAACGCCAUUUAAUACUGCUUUUAAUGGGAAGAAAGAUCUUAAUGCUUCCCCUGGCUUUGAUGGUAACAUCACAGAUUCAAGGAUCAGCGGAAUGAGCAUGAGCAUAGGUGGCCGGAGCCUUGCAAGUGAAGACUCAGAUGGGUUGACGCCAAGCGCUGUGUUCUCGCAGAUCAUGAACCCGAAAGGUCGAUGAGAUCAAAAGGGACUGCAUUUGCUACUCUACCAAAAUCUGCAAUUUUCCAUCCCCUGUCAAUCAUCAAAGGAAUUUUCCAUCCACUGUCAAGGC
rnacentral:misc_RNA from 1 species